CCAGUUCUGAUUCCACCUGUUUUGUAGCAAAUCGUUGAAAGUGGCCCAACCCCCACACAGAACGUUCAGGAAAAAGAAAGGAUAGCCGGCAGCGAUCAACCAGGGAUGAGCUUUCACCAAUUGGCUCCGUAAGGUUAGGAUGAAAUCAUUAUUUUAAAUUUAAUUAAUUAGGUAAUUUGUUAAUCUUUAUAACAGCCAAGUUAUCGACGAAAUCUAGCCUGCAGAAUAUCUCCAGAGGUUUCAUUUCAGCCUCCCAAAUGAGCACAUUUGGAUGGCACUCAUGCCGGAACAGGCCGGAACCAAACGAUGAAGAAAAUCAUUCGAUACAAUUGGAAGAUAAUUCGAGAUUUUAAGUCAUCCACCCGUAAGCUAAUCGAACUCGGCCGGGGUGCAGUGAAUGGAGCACAGCAGCAAUUACGAAAGUGUUAUUGCAGUGAAGCAGUGUUGGACUAAUCGACUGAAGAAGCUGCCAACCGAUGUACCGAUAAAAAAAUAUCAUUCCGACAGCAAAUCGAACCCUAGUCGUAUCGUGACCAAAAUGACAUGCCAGUUCACUAAAAUCAUCCGGAACUAAAAGCCAAUGCACCGAAUCAUCCGCUUAUCGCAAGAACCGGGAAAAUCACUUGAGGUUAGUACAGAGGCUGGUACGUUUCGACACAUACAGGAAAACUAUAAAGGAAUCUCCAAAAUAAGACAAUUCCUCGCUAAGAAGCAAAACACACAGAACUGUUGUGCUCGGUCGAUGAUGAUGUUCCUGCUCACUUUUCUGAGGUUUACUAUAUGGAACAAGGUGGGUCAAUUCCAACAAAUAAACAAUACCGAUUGGUCGACCGAUAUCUGCAUAAGGAAACAUGCAAUACUUUACUUAUUUUAAAACAAAAAACACUACCGUUGGGACAAUAUACAAAAUAUACAAAAAUAAUUUAA